rnacentral:rRNA from 1 species
GACGAACGCUGGCGGCGUGCCUAAUACAUGCAAGUCGAACGCAUCGGGGACGGGUCAGUAACACGUGGGUAACCUCCCAUCAGAGGGGAUAACACUUGGCAACAGGUGCUAAACCGAUACUGAUGGAUGGACCCGCGGUGCAUUAGCGAGUUGGUGAGGUAACGGCGCACCAAGGCCACGAUGCAUAGACGAACAGAGAGGAUGAUCGGCCGCACGGGGGCGGGGACACGGCCCAGACGCCUACGGGAGGCAGCAGUAGGGUAUCUUCGGCAGUGGACGAAAGUCUGACCGAGCAACGCAGCGUAAGUGAAGAAGGUUUUCGGAUCGUAAAACUCUGUUGUUAGAGGAACGGUAUCUAACCAGAAAGCCACGGCUAACUACGUGCCAGCAGCCGCGGUAAUAC